UAUGGAGGUGGAGUGUACUUGGGUGGUGGUGGGGAUUUAUAGUAGUAAGGUGUUGGUGGUGGUGGCGAUUUUACAGGAGGUGGUGGAGAAUUGUAGUAGUAAGGUGGAUGGGGGAUUGGAGAUGGAGGAGGAGGAGAUUUGUAAUAAUAAGGUGGUGGAGGAGAUGGUGAAGGUGGUGGAGGAGAUUUGUAAUAAUAUGGUGGCGGAGGAGACGGUGAAGGAGGUGGUGGGGAUUUAUAAUAAUAUGGUGGUGGAGGAGACGGUGAAGGAGGUGGUGGGGAUUUGUAAUAGUAUGGUGGGGCCUUGUGUUCAUAUGGUGGUGGAGGAGAUUUAUAGUAGUAAGGAGGUGGAGGUGAGGGAGAAGGUGGAGGAGGAGACUUGUAGUAGUAAGGUGGAGGAGGGGAGGGAGAGGGUGGUGGGGGAGAUUUGUAAUAGUAAGGAGGUGGAAGUGAUGGAGAGGGUGGUGGAGGAGACUUAUAGUAGUAUGGUGGAGGAGGGGAGGGUGAGGGUGGUGGGGGAGAUUUGUAGUAGUAAGGAGGUGGAGGUGAUGGAGAGGGCGGAGGCGGAGACUUGUAGUAGUAUGGUGGAGCCUUGUGCUCAUAUGGCGGGGGAGGAGACUUGUAAUAGUAAGGUGGGGGAGGGGAUGAAGAGGGUGGUGGGGGAGAUUUGUAGUAGUAAGGAGGUGGUGGGGAGGGAGAGGGUGGUGGAGGAGAUUUGUAGUAGUAUGGUGGAGGAGGGGAGGGUGAGGGUGGUGGGGGGGAUUUGUAGUAGUAAGGAGGUGGAGGGGAAGGAGAGGGUGGGGGAGGAGACUUGUAGUAGUAUGGUGGAGGAGGGGAAGGUGAGGGUGGUGGGGGAGAUUUGUAGUAGUAAGGAGGUGGAGGGGAGGGAGAGGGUGGAGGAGGAGACUUGUAGUAGUAUGGUGGAGGAGGGGAGGGUGAAGGUGGUGGGGGAGAUUUGUAGUAGUAAGGAGGUGGAGGUGAUGGAGAAGGUGGUGGAGGAGACUUGUAAUAGUAAGGUGGGGGAG
rnacentral:lncRNA from 1 species